rnacentral:rRNA from 1 species
CAGUCGCCGCGGGAAUACGUAGGGUGCAAGCGUUAAUCGGAAUUACUGGGCGUAAAGCGUGCGCAGGCGGUUUGUUAAGACAGAUGUGAAAUCCCCGGGCUCAACCUGGGAACUGCAUUUGUGACUGGCAAGCUAGAGUAUGGCAGAGGGGGGUGGAAUUCCGCGUGUAGCAGUGAAAUGCGUAGAUAUGCGGAGGAACACCGAUGGCGAAGGCAGCCCCCUGGGCCAAUACUGACGCUCAUGCACGAAAGCGUGGGGAGCAAACAGGAUUAGAUACCCGGGUAGUCCCUGUCUCUUAUAC